GUCCCCGUAGCGCAAUGGAUAGCGCGUUGGCCUCCGAAGCCAAAGGUUACAGGUUCGACUCCUGUCGGGGACG
rnacentral:tRNA from 1 species